UACUGCGGGGCUUUGAGGACAGCAGAGGAAGGUGGAAUUUCCCGGUGUAGUGGUGAAAUGCGUAGAUAUCGGGAGGAACACCCGUGGCGAAGGCGGCCUUCUGGGCUGUUCCUGACGCUGAAGGCGAAAGCUAGGGGAGCGAACGGGAUUAGAUACCCCGGUAGUCCUAGCUGUAAACGAUGGAUGCUGGGUGUGGGGGGUGUAAAUUCCCUCUGUGCCGAAGCAAACGCGUUAAGCAUCCCGCCUGGGGACUACGGCCGCAAGGCUAAAACUCAAACGAAUUGACGGGGGCCCGCACAAGCAGCGGAGCGUGUGGUUUAAUUCGAUGCUACACGAAGAACCUUACCUGGGUUUGACAUGCACGUGGUAGGGAACCGAAAGGGGACCGACCUUCGGGAGCGUGCACAGGUGCUGCAUGGCUGUCGUCAGCUCGUGCCGUGAGGUGUCGGGUUAAGUCCCGUAACGAGCGCAACCCUUGCCCUUAGUUACAAGUGUCUAAGGGGACUGCCCGGGACAACUGGGAGGAAGGUGGGGAUGACGUCAAGUCAGCAUGGCCUUUAUAUCCAGGGCUACACACACGCUACAAUGGCCGGUACAAUAGGUUGCGAAGUCGUGAGGCGGAGCCAAUCCUCAAAGCCGGUCUCAGUUCGAAUUGCAGUCUGCAACUCGACUGCAUGAAGCUGGAGUUGCUAGUAAUCGCAGGUCAGCUAUACUGCGGUGAAUACGUUCCCGGGCCUUGUACACACCGCCCGUCACGUCAUGGAAGCUGGCAACGCCUGAAGCCGGUGAGCUAACCCGAAAGGGAGGCAGCCGUCGAGGGUGGGGCUGUAACUGGGACGAAGUCG
rnacentral:rRNA from 1 species